rnacentral:rRNA from 1 species
UACAGAGGGUGCAAGCGUUGUUCGGAAUUAUUGGGCGUAAAGGGCGCGUAGGCGGUGCCACAAGUCACCUGUGAAAUCUCCGGGCUUAACUCGGAGCCUGCAGGCGAAACUGUGGUGCUGGAGUGUGGGAGAGGUGCGUGGAAUUCCUGGUGUAGCGGUGAAAUGCGUAGAUAUCAGGAGGAACACCGGUGGCGAAGGCGGCUAUCUGGACAGAAACUGACGCUGAGGCGCGAAAGCUAGGGGAGCAAACAGG